UAAUCCGGUUGCAACCAGGAAC
rnacentral:snRNA from 1 species